GUGCAUAGCGGACGUUACUGGUAACCGGUUGGCUGGAUGGUGCGUAUCCUCGUUGACCAGUUGACUGGUUGCGAAGAUCAGGGCAAAGAAUGAGCUGUGCCAAGGUUCCGUGUGGUUUACCUAGCCUAAAGACACCGUUGGUCAGUGCGUGACGUUUCUAGGCUGAUGGACUAGCGCCCACUAGCGUAGCUCGUUGACGCUUCGCCAAACGAAGCAGACACCAGGCUAGUCUAUUGUCUAUGAAUCGUCACGGCUCAUUGAUCCUAAAUAUCACUUCUUGUCAAGAUUCUGGAUGUAUGCAUCAGCCAAUGGGUCUCUUGGGCCCAUGUCUUGGAAAGGAACGCGCGAUACCCGCUUGUCAGCUUUGAGCGCUCUGCUGAGCUGCGAAAGACCGUGAUAUUGAACGUCGCAUGUAGCUCGGCUGGGUUCCCUGACAGAACGUCAGACAUCCGGGAUGUGUGAACGCAAAAUUGCUCAUGAACAUCUACCGAAUACCGUGCAAUCUACUUGCGGUUAGCGUGUUUAGACUGAACGCCCAGCUCAGACUGGAGCAAGCUUGGCCAGUAGAAGUGAAUGAAGGCUAUAGUCGGCGAUGUUCAUGGACCCGGAACCGAGCAAUUAUCGACGGAUUCUGGGCUUUGGCUGAAAAGGGUGGCAGUGCGCCAAAACUUGACUUUUCACAGCAGAGCGCGUAAGUCGCAAGCACCAGCCUGAACACUCCAAUGACAACAAAUUCUGGUGUGCUUGCCGAGUCCCUGUUUAUCCUGAACCGCUAUGUAUGCUCGUAGAGCUAUUCGGACUCCUGCGCAAAGAUAAGAAAGUUCGAACUGUGUACCAGCUGCUUCUCGAUCCGGUCGGUGGUUUUCGGGAGCCACCCGGUUAUGGCAAUGUCGUUGCCGCAAGUUCGCCAGCGUUGCAUAGCACCGCUCGCCAAGUGCAGCAUGUCCUGGCAUGAUGCUAUGGUUUUGUGAGCGCCACAGAGGUCUCGCGAGUGCCAUUGCUCUCUCGCGAACGAACGGAGCGAUUUGGCGUCCGUUGCAUCGCUAUUGCAUCUGUCGAACUCGGGGCACGCGGUGCAUGCGCUCCCGAAGAAAGGCCUGCGUAGCAGUUCGGUGACGUGAUAGGCGAAUCAGUCGCUGUGCAUGCGGCAAGUCUUCACAGCAUCGACGAAAUACUACGUUAUGAAGCGACUGCAUGGAGCGCGCAGUAGCUGUGAUCGAUCUGUGGCCACAGAUGAUGCGACCAGGUUUACCGGGUACGUCCUCCAAGGUGGCGGCAUGCGACGAUUCACCGGUGCAGUCCACCCACCGGCACAAAUGAUACGAUACUCUGACAAUAGCAAGCGAAUUGAUGCCUGGGCAAGGUUACGGGAGGCAUCAUGCUAGGAGGCUGAUUUUCCUUAUUUUUGGGGAUGUUGGAUCGUUUACUCGAAUCAGGGAUCCGCCAUACUGCGCGAUGGCGAUCGGCAUCUGGGGAGCCACCCGUCAUCCCGCAAGAGGCUUUCACGUUGCAUGGGCCACGAUGAUGCUGGCUCGCCUCUGAGGAUAAUGGUUCCUUCGUCAGAUCCCCAGGGCGCAGAGCCUGCCGUACGCGUCCGCAUUAAAGCCUGAGGUGCCGUCAUGGACGCAGCACCGAGACAGGUCAGCCUUGCCGUGCCCUUGUGCGCGUAAACUCGAGGCGACUGGCUUCCCUGCUCACAAAUAGGGCACUUGUCGCUGGACAUAUGAUCCGUGCACGGAAUAAUCGAGAGCGCCCGGAACAGUUUCCUUCCCGCCUGCUCGGGUCGACGCAGUGUCCGCAUCAUGACUGAAUCGAACUGCGCACUGCACCUUGCUGGAUGGCAGAUGCAUUACCAUUGGCGAGGUGGACGAGAAACGCAUAAAGCGUGCGCGCUUGC